rnacentral:rRNA from 1 species
CCCUUAGAUGUCCUGGGCCGCACGCGCGCUACACUGAGUGUCUGAGAUACGAGUCUGCCUGGUCCGGCAAGGUCUAGGUAAUCGCUAAAAGACACAUCAUGCUUGGGAUAGAUUAUUGCAAAUAUUAAUCUUGAACGAGGAAUUCCUAGUAAACGCAAGUCAUCAGCUUGCAUUGAUUACGUCCCUGCCCUUUGUACACACCGCCCGUCGCACCUACCGAUUGAAUGACUCGGUGAAAAAUCGGGACUGUGGUCUAGCUUGCUUAAUUGCAAACUUGACUGUGGGAACUUUCUUUAACCUAUUCAUUUAGAGGAAGGUGAAGUCGUAACA